rnacentral:rRNA from 1 species
AGAGGAUUAGAUCUGGUAGUCCACGCUGUAAACGAUGUCAACUAGCCGUUGGGGAUCUUGAAUCUUUAGUGGCGCAGCUAACGCACUAAGUUGACCGCCUGGGGAGUACGGCCGCAAGGUUAAAACUCAAAUGAAUUGACGGGGGCCCGCACAAGCGGUGGAGCAUGUGGUUUAAUUCGACGCAACGCGAAGAACCUUACCUGGCCUUGACAUGUUGGGAACUUUCCAGAGAUGGAUUGGUGCCUUCGGGAACCCAAACACAGGUGCUGCAUGGCCGUCGUCAGCUCGUGCCG